UGGAGAGUUUGAUCCUGGCUCAGGACGAACGCUGGCGGCGUGCUUAACACAUGCAAGUCGAACGGAAAGGCCCCUUCGGGGGUGCUCGAGUGGCGAACGGGUGAGUAACACGUGGGUAAUCUGCCCUGCACUCUGGGAUAAGCCUGGGAAACUGGGUCUAAUACCGGAUAUUUCCUGCCUGCCGCAUGGUGGGGUGGGGGAAAGCUUUUGCGGUGUGGGAUGAGCCCGCGGCCUAUCAGCUUGUUGGUGGGGUGAUGGCCUACCAAGGCGACGACGGGUAGCCGGCCUGAGAGGGUGACCGGCCACACUGGGACUGAGAUACGGCCCAGACUCCUACGGGAGGCAGCAGUGGGGAAUAUUGCACAAUGGGCGCAAGCCUGAUGCAGCGACGCCGCGUGGGGGAUGACGGCCUUCGGGUUGUAAACCUCUUUCAGCGCCGACGAAGCGUUUAGUGACGGAGGCGCAGAANAAGCACCGGCCAACUACGUGCCAGCAGCCGCGGUA
rnacentral:rRNA from 1 species